rnacentral:sRNA from 2 species
UUUUAGCCCCGAUUGAAGGGAAAAUCCUUUUUCUUUUUUUCGAGAAAAAAGAAAAAGAUUGGAAUGAAAAGCGGGACUGCUC